rnacentral:rRNA from 3 species
UUUAAUUGUAAUUUUAUAUCAAAAUUAUUAAUAGUUAAGUUCUUUAAAUUUAAAGAUUUUGGCGGUAUUUUAGUCUUUUUAGAGGAAUCUGUCCUAUAAUUGAUAAUCCACGAUUAAUUAAACUUUAUUUUUAGUUUGUAUACCGUCGUAUUUUAAAUUUAUUAAAAGAUAAAUUUAUUUUUUAUAUUAAAUUUAUUCAGAUCAAGGUGCAGCUUAUAUUAAAGAAGAGAUGGAUUACAAUAUUUUAUAUGUAUAUGAAUUUUAUUUUUAAAAAAUUUUUGAAAUUGGAUUUAAAAGUAAUUAAUAUAAAUAUUUUAUUAAUGAUUAAAGCUCUAAAAUAUGU